GGUGGAGCUGGAGGUUCAAUGGAUCACCAAUGGCCAACGAUUUUCUGAAUCAUGCCCAUGUAAUAAAGCUUCCAUAAAGACACAAGACAAGAGAGCUCAGAGAACUUCCAAGUUCAUGAACCAGAAUCCUUCCACAUGCCAUAUGCCAAGUGCCAGUACUUUAAGAAUACUGAUGUACUGUCUUCUGGCUUCCACAGUUUCUGAUGGAUGGCUUUAAAAAACGUUCACUUCCAUUGUCCAGGCAUUUCUCACCAUCCCACGUAUGGUAUUAUUAUGGGUUCUCCAAAAGGUAUGGGAAAUUUAACCUAGCCAUCAAUGCAACUGUUCUAUCCUGCUAAAAAGUGCAGAUUUCCCACAGCUCUGGAAAGUGAUGAUUCAUCUUGUGCUUAGUCCCAGAC